UGAGUAUUCAGCUAGAGAUCUUUGUA
rnacentral:piRNA from 2 species